GUUGUUUAAGGGGAGAGGGCGAGGGUGGGAGAAGCUGGGGGGGGGGGCGGGGGCAAGAGAAAGGAGUGAGGAAAAAAUGGAAGGGGCAAGAAAGGGGUAGUCCUUGCUCUCUUUCUUUCCCCCCCCCUUAACUUCUCCCACCCUUGCCCCCUCCUAAAAAAUAGCG
rnacentral:miRNA from 1 species